rnacentral:rRNA from 1 species
CCAGAGUAGUACGGCUUAUAAGGCUAAAACUCAAAGAACUUGGCGGUUUUCUAGUCCUUUUCGGAGGAGCUUGUUAUUAAAUUGAUAACCCACAAGAAACCUUACCGUACCUCGAAACCCAGCCUGUAUACCAUCGUCGCCAGCCCACCUCGACAGAAAGUGGGCAUCAAGGUAACUCCCCAAACGUCAGAUCAAGGUGCAGCCAAUGGAACGGGAAUAAAUGAGCUACUUUACUUAACAACACGAGGAUUACCCUAUUUAAAAUGGAAAUGAAAAAGGAUUCGACAGUAAUUAUCUACAGAAAUAUUUAAUGAAAUCAGCUCUAGAAUGCGCACACACCGCCCGUCACCCUCA